AAGCACUUGAGGCGCUUCUCUGGAUUGUGAGUGGGUUCUGUUAAAAUGUCUACUUUGGAACACGUGAGUAUUUUGACUAUGGCUUUUGUGAUUUACUUGUAAAGGAUCUGUUAAAACAAACCAAAGCAGUGCAUAAAGGGCACAUCUGGGUAAACUGUCCCCCACUCCUACCCAAGUGCAAAAGUGCAUGGUGGAGGAGGCAGCAUAACUGCCUUAGAACCAGAUAGGAUAGAUGGGAUUCCCAA
rnacentral:lncRNA from 1 species